UACGGAGGGUGCAAGCGUUAUCCGGAUUCACUGGGUUUAAAGGGUGCGUAGGUGGGUUGGUAAGUCAGUGGUGAAAUCUCCGAGCUUAACUUGGAAACUGCCAUUGAUACUAUCAGUCUUGAAUAUUGUGGAGGUCAGCGGAAUAUGUCAUGUAGCGGUGAAAUGCAUAGAUAUGACCCGGAACACCGAUUGCGAAGGCAGCCCGCUAAGCAAGCAUUGACGCUGAGGCACGAAAGCGUGGGGAUCAAACAGG
rnacentral:rRNA from 1 species